rnacentral:lncRNA from 1 species
UUUGGUUACUUUUUGUCAUAAAUGUAAUGUUAGCCUUGUGAUUGGUGGGCUCUUAGUCUUCCCAACAAGGUGUUAUGGAUAAAGAAAGUACAUAUUAUCAUUGGAUGUGUUUAAUGAAUUGAAACCACCUAGGCUUGAAGAGUUUCAAAAUCACUUUUAGUCACAAAAAGAAAUUGAGCUUUUGAGACAAUUUUUGUAAUUGAAACCUUAGGCACUAAAAAUUUUCAUGAUCAACUUAUUGCGACAGAGUGCGGGCUUCCAAUAGCUUUUAUCAUGAGAAAAGCUCUUAUUAUUGCGGUGAGGGUUUAUUAUAAUCAAAGCAUAAAAUUUACUUCACAAAGUAAAUUGUGGGAUUACAUUGGGUGUGUUGUUGUUGUUGAAAGUAAGUUUAAUUGUGCUGUGAGUCCUUGACAGUCAAUGGGAAGCAACAUUCUAAUCUCUAUCAUGACGAGACAAACUAAAUUAACUUGCAGAGAUAUUUGACAGCUUACUGCUCAUUGGUGGGAAACCUUCCCUUGAAGCAUAGAUCACAGCAUAAUGACCCUCGUGAGAAAUAUAGGUAUAAAAAAGUCAAGCAUCCAUAGGAAAGAUGGAGAAUAGUUGCAUUAGUUGUGGUCCCAAAGAGUCUAUUGUAGUAGCUUAUAGCAGAAUCAGGUCACCAAGUUUCAAUGCAUAAUUUCCCAAACUCUGUGUCAAAAACAUAUGUUGCUUUUCUUCCAAAUUUCAUUGUUUGAUGGGGUAAGUUUCCAAACAACCACUUGAACAUGUUAAUGUAACUGAGCUUAUUAAUAAAUGGAAGGGAUUUAUUAGACUAGUAUGCUUGUACCAUAAAGAAGAUGUACAUGAACUUGACAAACACUCUGAUUUCUAUACGAGACGCAAAAAAGAAUCUAGCGGAGAGAAUUGAUAGCUUAGACGUGCAAGGACUUGAUACAAAAGCUAGCUAUUGCAAUUGAUCAAAUAUAUGAGUGUUGUAACUUUCUUUCGUUUGAUAAGUAUAAUAUGGAAUUAAAGAACUUUCCAGCUUGCGAUUGGCAUGGAAAGAUAUGACUUUUGCUUAUGUGUUUCUGGUUUAGUUCCACCUUGCAAUUGCACUGAAAAUUGUAAUACGUACUUGGAUUAAUAUGAUAUAUCUUUAUGGCUUAUCCAGUUUUAAUUGAGAUAGCUUGUACAUUAUGCAUGCACUAACUUCCUG